rnacentral:snRNA from 1 species
GUGCUCACUUUGGCAGCAUAUAUACUCAAAAUUGGAAUGAUACAGAGGAUUAGCAUGGCCUCUGUACAAGGAUAACAUGCAAAUUCGUGAAGUGUUCCAUAAAAAA